rnacentral:rRNA from 1 species
UGGGGAAUUUUGGACAAUGGGCGCAAGCCUGAUCCAGCCAUGCCGCGUGCAGGAUGAAGGCCUUCGGGUUGUAAACUGCUUUUGUACGGAACGGAAAGACUCUGGUUAAUACCUGGGGUCCAUGACGGUACCGUAAGAAUAAGCACCGGCUAACUACGUGCCAGCAGCCGCGGUAAUACGUAGGGUGCGAGCGUUAAUCGGAAUUACUGGGCGUAAAGCGUGCGCAGGCGGUUAUAUAAGACAGAUGUGAAAUCCCCGGGCUCAACCUGGGAACUGCAUUUGUGACUGUAUAGCUAGAGUACGGCAGAGGGGGAUGGAAUUCCGCGUGUAGCAGUGAAAUGCGUAGAUAUGUGGAGGAACACCGGUGGCGAAGGCGGCCCCCUGGAUAGAGACUGACGCU